GAUGAACGUUGGCGGUGUGCCUAAUACAUGCAAGUCGAACGGAGACUGUAGCAAUACUGUCUUAGUGGCGAACGGGUGAGUAACGCGUUGGUGAUCUGCCUCGAAGUGUGGAAUAACCUCCCGAAAGGGAAGCUAAUACCGCAUAGUCUCUCAAGGUUUAGAAAAUUGAGAGUAAAGGAUUUAUUCGCUUCGAGAGGAGCCUGCGUCCCAUCAGCUAGUUGGUGGGGUAACGGCCUACCAAGGCUUAGAUGGGUAGCCGGCCUGAGAGGGUGAACGGCCACACUGGGACUGAGACACGGCCCAGACUCCUACGGGAGGCAGCAGUGAGGAAUUUUGCGCAAUGGGGGAAACCCUGACGCAGCGACGCCGCGUGGAGGAUGAAGGCCUUCGGGUCGUAAACUCCUGUCAGAGGUGAAGAAUACCGCAAGGGUUGACGGUAACCUCAGAGGAAGCCCGGCUAACUACGUG
rnacentral:rRNA from 1 species